rnacentral:rRNA from 1 species
AACAAACGCUGGCGGCGUGCCUAACACAUGCAAGUCGAACGAGAAAGUCGGUUUCGGCCGAUGAGUAAAGUGGCGCACGGGUGAGUAACGCGUGGAUAAUCUACCCUUUAGUCCGGAAUAACUUGCCGAAAGGUGAACUAAUACCGGAUGACAUCCCGGGUUCUCCGGAAACCGGGAUCAAAGAAGGCCUCUGCUUGCAAGCUUUUGCUGAAGGAUGAGUCCGCGUACCAUUAGCUAGUUGGUGGGUAAUGGCCUACCAAGGUUAUGAUGGUUAGCUGGUCUGAGAGGAUGAUCAGCCACACUGGAACUGAAACACGGUCCAGACUCCUACGGGAGGCAGCAGUGAGGAAUAUUGCGCAAUGGGGGCAACCCUGACGCAGCAACGCCGCGUGAGUGAGGAAGGUUUUCGGAUUGUAAAGCUCUGUCGAGCGGAAAGAAAUGCACGAUGGCUAAUAUCCAUCAUGCUUGACGGUACCGCUAGAGGAAGCACCGGCUAACC